rnacentral:rRNA from 1 species
CCCCUAGAUGUCCUGGGCCGCACGCGCAAUACAAUGUAAAGUUCAGAAAGCAUAUCCUGUUCCGGAAGGCAAUGGGUAAUCUUUUCAAUAUUUUACGUGUUAGGGAUCGAUCUUUGCAAUUAUAGAUCUUGAACGAGGAAUACCUAGUAAGUGCAGCUCAUCAGGCUGUACUGAUUACGUCCCUGCCCUUUGUACACACCGCCCGUCGCUCCUACCGAUUUCGAGUGGUCCGGUGAAUCUUUUGGAAUUAGAGUGCAAACUCAAACUAAGAUCGAUAAACCCUAUCACUUAGAGGAAGGAGAAGUCGUAACA